rnacentral:rRNA from 1 species
GAUGAACGCUAGCGAUAGGCUUAACACAUGCAAGUCGAGGGGCAGCAUGGUCUUAGCUUGCUAAGACUGAUGGCGACCGGCGCACGGGUGCGUAACGCGUAUGCAACUUGCCUCACAGAGGGGGCUAACCCGACGAAAGACUGACUAAUACCGCGUACACUUAGGAUAGGGCAUCCUGACCCAAGGAAAUGAAGUUCGCUGUGAGAUAGGCAUGCGUUCCAUUAGCUCGUUGGUGAGGUAACGGCACACCAAGGCGACGAUGUGUAGCGGAACUGAGAGGUUGCACCACCAGACCGGUACCGAGGCACGGACCAGACCGGGACGGGACGGAGGAGUGAGGAACACUGGGGAAUGGGCGAUAGCCGGAAACAGCCAAGUCGCGUGAAGGAGGACUGGCUUAGGGAUUGUAAGCUUCUUUGAAACGGCAAAAACAAGAGUAACGGGGGGCUUCCUGAAGGUACCGGAUGAAUAAGCAUCGGCUAACUACGUG